rnacentral:rRNA from 1 species
UCCAGACUCCUACGGGAGGCAGCAGUGGGGAAUAUUGCACAAUGGGGGGAACCCUAAUGCAGCGACGCCGCGUGGGUGAAGGAGCACCUCGGUGCGUAAAGCCCUAUCGGCAGGGAAGAAACAGACGGUACCUGACUAAGAAGCCCCGGCUAACUACGUGCCAGCAGCCGCGGUAAUACGUAGGGGGCAAGCGUUAUCCGGAUUCACUGGGUGUAAAGGGAGCGUAGACGGCGACGCAAGUCUGGAGUGAAAGCCCGGGGCCCAACCCCGGGACUGCUCUUGGAACUGCGCGGCUGGAGUGCAGGAGGGGCAGGCGGAAUUCCUGGAGUAGCGGUGAAAUGCGUAGAUAUCAGGAGGAACACCGGUGGCGGAGGCGGCCUGCUGGACUGCGACUGACGUUGAGGCCCGAAAGCGUGGGGAGCAAACAGGAUUAGAUACCCCGGUACGU